ACCUGGUUCUAAAUAUGUUAUCUACUGCUUCUAAACUCAAAUGCAAUCAAAUUGAUAACUUUUCAAGGAAACUUGAUAUGUGUUAUGACUUAUAAGAUUGCAUAAAUAUUUGCAUCAGCCUUGGCGUAUAAUGGAUAAGAAAGGUACAUAUUUUGCAUUCCUCAUUACUGAAUAAAAUUGAGAAUGGAAAUGGGGAAUGUGUCAAAGAGACAACAACCAGACCAUAGAAAAAACAACAUCAGAAGGUCACUAACAGGUCUUCAAUGUAGCGAGAAACUCCCGCAUCCGGAGGCGUCCUUCCGCUGGCCCCUAAACAAAUAUCUAUACUAGUGCAGUGAUAAUUGACGCCAUACUAAACUCCCGAAUUAUUAAUUAUAGAAUUUACAUUCUCGUCCUGUGUAAAUAGUUGCCCUACUAACAAUCACAUCAUAUCUUCUUUUCUGUAUUGCUGUACAUUAGGAGAUAUGAUCGUAUCGUUAAUUAUGUUAGGCUUGACUAUUUGUAAUAGUCUUGACAAUCUAUGAUUUUACAUUUCACACAAAGUUUGCCUACUUUUAGAUUAGAAUAAUAAAUUGUGUUUUGUUUGCGCAUCAUUUUUCAGUAAUACCUUAUUUGGUGCAUCUUUGUCUUGUCGUUAAAUACAAUGGCAGUGUGACAUAUAUUCAAAGUUGAAUAUAAUUAUUAUUCCUUUUCAUUUUCCUUCUAUAGAAAUAUCUUUCAUAUUUUAAAACUAAUUUUAAAGGAUUAACCGUAGAUGUGAUAGGUUAUAUGUCACUAGAGAAACAAACAGUCAGUGUUCAUGCAUACUAAUAUGAGAUAGAUGUUGAAUAUCUGUGCACAAUUGUUUUAUGAAAAUGUUACGUAGUUAAGUUAAUAUAGAAUAUUUACAAAAACAAUUGUUCUAUCGUCUAUUAUUGAUCGCUGUCUAAAAAUAUAUACUCUAAAUACAAAAUGUAUGUAAUAAGAUAAACA
rnacentral:lncRNA from 1 species